ensembl:lncRNA AABR07040797.1
AUCAGGCUGAAAGGAUGAAGCAGAGUCUGGAACAGGUGGGGUCUGCAGGAUCCUGGACCAGCUUGUAGUUCUUGAACAAACAAUAGUGGAGUUCCGGGGAGCUGAACUGCUACUAAGCACUGAGGAGAAGCUGAGAGGCAGGAUGGCGCUGGUGGACCCACCUCGUUUUCUGUCUACAGACAAAGGCUGGAACAGAGGAGACAGAACCUCUCAUUCAUCCCUGACUUAAUCAUGGGGGAGUUAACAGUUUGUUUUUGAAUAAUGGAACAAAGGCAAGAACUGUGCAUAUGAAGAUUUGAUGUCAGUCAGUCUCAAAUCACCAAAACCAGGAGAAAUUAUUUAUGUUGCUGCUUUGCAGAAUUCAAUCAUUUUGGAAGUCCAAGAGAUGCCCCCCCCCAAAUAAACUAUGGCCAAUGUCCUUGGUUACCUAUCAGAACCUGAAGGAUCAAAACUAUGCAUUGCUAAGAACAGAAACUGUUUAAUGAGGAAACAACACGAAAAAUUGAUGAUAUUGGCAGCUUUGUACAAGUUGGAGACCUGAUAUGAAACAAAUGUUGAAGUGGAACGUCUUGGGGAGGAGGCUCUUGGUCAUUACAAAGUGGCUGGCAGCAGAUGUUCUGAGAAUCCCCAAGCCUCCUCUGACCCUCCUACUUUCCUGGCACUGGAACAUGGAACUCACAGCUGAUAGCAUCAUGAAGACAGAAGACAUUUUAGGAAGGGGCCAAGGACAAAAUAAUUUUCUACAAGCAUGCCCACAAGUGACCCAUUUCCUUCAGGUGAGGGUGUGGAAGCCAGAGGACAACGUGAUGGGGUAGGUUUCUCUCCUUCCACCACGUAGGUCCCUUGUCUGAUACCCCGGUCCUCCAGCUUGGCACCAGAGAGGUUACUGAUCUCCCAGGAGAAAGACUUGCCAUUUCUCUCUGGUAAUUUGGGCUCAAAGAUAACUCCUACCAUGCAAGAGUAUUAUUUUUUGAAUUCCUUAAGAAAUAUCAAGGUUCCCGUGUCCUGCUGUUUCCCUGACUUUACAGCUCUCCACCCCCCUGUGGACCCUUUUUAGUUUGUUGGUUUCUGCUGUUGCUCCAGCUUACAGACUAACAUCUCCAAGAUCUCCCUAUGCAGAUCAAGCAGACCUGGAAUUCACAAGAGAUCUGCCUGACUCUCUCUCACCAGUGCUGAGAUUAAAGGCGUCUAUGUGUGCAGGUGUCUUCAAAAUACAGAAGAUGUCAGUUCCCCUUGAGCUGGAGUUACAGGCAGUUGUAAGCUUCUGCUGUUGGUGCUAAGAAGGAAAUCUGGGUCCUCUAGAAGAGCAGCUCGUAACUGCUAAGCCGUAUCUCCAGUCCCCAGAACACGCAAUUAUUACAGUUACAAGCAAUAUUUGAUACUUCCACUGUUAAAAAGUACUCCAGAGCAAAAGAUGAAUGGGUGGAAGUCGAAGAGAUCACAUUGAGAGAGAUAAUCCCGAUCCAGAAAGGCCAGGAUCUCAUUUGCUCUCAUCUUUGACUCCUAGUUGCAAAACUUCAAGUGAUGAUGGUGUACAUCUACAGUUCAAGCUGUAUCAGAGGUUGACAGAGGAUAACACAGUUGCGGCCAGUUUGGACAACUUGGAGAUUCUACCACCUUCUUCGUGGGAUACACGGGAAACCCAGCCCAGGACAGCACCUUGUAUGCAAACAGAGUCUACAAUACUUUCCCAUCACGCGUGGUGUAUACUUGUGUACAAUACUUACCAGCCUUUGUCUGUAG